rnacentral:lncRNA from 1 species
AGGCUCUCAGUAGAUGCAUGUUGAACAAAUCCUCAGCUCCUGGCACGUCUCUGCAGUGAAGAGACUGCUCCAGUACCCCCUGCAGGGUCCAGGCUCCCGGCAGCGCUCAGGGUUCAAGGCGGGAAGAGUGAAGGCGGGUGGGAGUCACAGCAAGCCCCCCAGAGAGCCCCAGGGAGAUGGCUUAGAGUCUUAGUGACAGCAGGUGCCGCUGGAACUAGGGCAGCAGGGUUACUGACUGCCGAUGGGGUCAAUCGGGCAUUUCUGGAUGAAGCUUAUGGGGGCGGGGGGCUGGGCGGGGUGGCGGUGGAGAGGGGGCGUCACUCCGGAGCACGCUCACACUCACACCUAACAGACCACCGCACAGGCGCCCGCACGGACCCGAAGAAGCAGGAUUAGGAGAGGCCAGAAAGCGAUCGACAGACAGGCAAGGCCGGAGGAUGUCCCAGAAGGUGGGGAAAGGGCAGAGAGGGGAGGGGAGCGACACCCGCGGGUCCGCAGCGCGCCUGCGGGAGGGCUGGGAGAGGGCGCCAGGGAGGGGACCCCCGCACCGGCCCGCCGCGGAGCCUCUCUGCCCGGCCGGGAGCACCCCCGGAGCAGGGCGCGUCCCCCGCCGGCGCUGCUCAGCCGGUCGCUGCCUCCUCUGCAGCCGCGGCGCUUCCACCUGCGCAGCCACCGCGCCGCCGGCUGCCAUUGGCUCGCUAAAAAUGCCUCUCUAAUCUGCGCGCAUCUGUGCACGCCUCCUCCCUCAUCCUCUCCCCCUCCUCGGCUCUGACCUUCCUCCUUCCCGCAGCCCCGGCGAGAUCCGGAGAGACGCGGUGGCUGCCGCGGCAGCACAACCUCCUCUUCCCCGGGGAAGUCUUCUGGGCUUGAGGCCGGGCCCCAGACGCCUCGCUUUGCCCCGCGGCGCCGCCGAUGGUGCCGGGCGCUCCUGCCCCCAGCCCAAUUAACACGUGCAGAGGAAGCUCUGACAAAACUGGCGGAAGACAAUUUUCCCCGAAUGGGGUUCCACUUGGGAAGAGGGAGACAAAGGAGGUAGGAGACGGCAAAAGAUGGAGUAGUUUCAAGGGGCACAGGCUGUUCUGACAUGGCGUAACUGAUCACCCAUAUUUUUGCUGGUUUUGGGGUCUCUUACUGAUGUAAACUUUGACAAGCCAUAAGGCUAUCCCAUUCUUGCCUCCCUUCCUUCUAACAUCCCUCUUGGGGACCCUCCCCCCAGCAGAAGGGACUGGCUCAGGCUGACAGUAGGGGUCGGGUGGGAGUGGAUGCUCCCUGGGCUGGGGAAGGAGGGGGUGACGGAGGAGGCAGCUUCUCC